rnacentral:rRNA from 1 species
GUGCCAGCCGCCGCGGUAAUACAUAGGGGGCGAGCGUUAUCCGGAAUUAUUGGGCGUAAAGCGUGCGUAGGCGGAAUGUUAAGUCAUUUGUAAAAGAUCUCGGCCCAACCGAGUAAGGCGAAUGAAACUGGCAAUCUUGAGUACGGUAGAGGUAAGUGGAAUUCCAAGUGUAGCGGUGGAAUGCGUAGAUAUUUGGAGGAACACCGAUGGCGAAGGCAGCUUACUGGGCCGGAACUGACGCUGAGGCACGAAAGCGUGGGUAGCAAACAGGAUUAGAUACCCCAGUAGUCC